CAGUCGCCACGGUAAUACGAAGGGUGCAAGCGUUACUCGGAAUUACUGGGCGUAAAGCGUGCGUAGGUGGUGGUUUAAGUCCGUUGUGAAAGCCCUGGGCUCAACCUGGGAAUUGCAGUGGAUACUGGGUCACUAGAGUGUGGUAGAGGAUAGUGGAAUUUCCGGUGUAGCAGUGAAAUGCGUAGAGAUCGGAAGGAACAUCUGUGGCGAAGGCGACUAUCUGGGCCAACACUGACACUGAGGCACGAAAGCAUGGGGAGCAAACAGGAUUAGAUACCCGUGUAGUCCCUGUCUCUUAUAC
rnacentral:rRNA from 1 species